rfam:Oryctes borbonicus contig13216, whole genome shotgun sequence.
UAAUCGGUUUUUCUAAAAACUACUACCAUCACCAUUUGUGUUGUAU